rnacentral:rRNA from 1 species
UACGUAGGGGGCAAGCGUUGUCCGGAAUCAUUGGGCGUAAAGAGCGUGUAGGUGGCUCGGUAAGUCCGCUGUGAAAGUCCAGGGCUCAACCCUGGAAUGCCGGUGGAAACUGUCGAGCUAGAGUCCGGAAGAGGCGAGUGGAAUUCCUGGUGUAGCGGUGAAAUGCGCAGAUAUCAGGAGGAACACCAAUGGCGAAGGCGGCUCACUGGACCGGUUCUGACGCUGAAGCGCGAAAGCGUGGGGAGCAAACGGG